AAAAUUAGAGUGUUCAAAGCAGGCAGAUCCAAUUUUCUGCCACCGAAUACAUUAGCAUGGGAUAAUGGAAUAGGACCCUGUCCUCCUAUUUUCAGUUGGUUUUGGCAGCGCGAGGACUAGGGUAAUGAUUAAUAGGGAUAGUUGGGGGCAUUAAUAUUUAAUUGUCAGAGGUGAAAUUCUUGGAUUUAUGAAAGAUUAACUUCUGCGAAAGCAUCUGCCAAGGAUGUUUUCAUUAAUCAAGAACGAAAGUUAGGGGAUCGAAGACGAUCAGAUACCGUCGUAGUCUUAACCAUAAACGAUGCCGACCAGCGAUUAGGAGACGUUGAAUACAAAACACCACCAUCGGCGCGGUCGUCCUUGGCGUCGGUCUUCACGGGGCCGGCGCGAGGGCGGCUUAGCCCGGUGGCACCGGUGAA
rnacentral:rRNA from 1 species